rnacentral:rRNA from 1 species
CCUGAAAAUUGAUGGCGCUAAGCGUGAUACCGAUACUCGACCAACAGGGCAAAUAGAAGCCUUGUUGAGUAAGAGGGCGUGAACAUUGUGUAGAAGGCUUGGACGUGAGUCUGGCUGGAACAAUGUUUAGUGCAGAUCUUGGUGGUAGUAGCAAAUAUUCAAAUGAGAACUUUGAAGACCGAAGUGGAGAAGGGUUCCAUGAGAACAGCAUUUGAUCAUGGGUUACUCGAUCCUAAGACAUAGGGAAAUUCCUUGUAAUAUAUGGGUUCUUACGAAUCCGUUGUCAAAAGGGAAUGAGGUUGAUAUUCCUCAAGCUGAAUACGGAGGUUUCGUGGCAACACAAACAAGCUUGGAGACAUCGGCGUGUGCAACUGGAAGAGUUCUCUUUUCUUCUUAACAAUCUAUCUCCCUGAAUGGAUUAUCCAAAGCUAGGGAUGUACGGUUGGCAGAGCAGUUCACCAUCGAACUGUCAGUGAUGCUCAUGACGAUCCUUGAAAAUCCAAGUACGGUGAUCCUUUCGUAUCAGGUCGUACCCAUAACCGCAUCAGGUCUCCAAGGUUAGCAGCCUCUGGUCGAUAGAAUAACGUAGAUAAGGGAAUUCGGCAAAUUAGAUCCGUAACUUCGGGAAAAGGAUUGGCUCUGAGGAUUGGGUGUUUAGACCCCUACUUGGACAGUGGAAUUGAGCUAGGACUUGCCGCAAGGCAGGACCUAGUUUUGUGAAGCUAGAAUUGUAGGGAGUUCUUGCACAAGUAACAAUCGACUCGGAACUGAAGCGGACAAGGAGAAUCCGACUGUUUAAUAAAAACAUAGCGUUGUGAUGGCGUGAAAACGUGUUGACACAACGUGAUUUCUGCCCAGUGCUUUGAAUGUGAAUAUGAAGUAAUUUGUAGAAGCUCAGGUAAACGGCGGGAGUAACUAUGACUCUCUUUAAGUUUAAAAUUAAAUUUAUGCCUUCAAGUAUUGGGAAACCUUAAUCAUGUACAAAAAAUGAUUGUUAAAAAGCUUAUCAAUCUUUUAAAAAAGAUUGUUAAUCGUCAUAUAAGGGUGCAUAUUAACAAUGUUGGACCAAACAAUUGAAAAAUAUGACAAACAAACAAUAUAAGAUUGCUUACAAAGGCAAAGAUGAUAAAACUCAUUACUUUAAACCAAGAGUUCAUCGAAUGUGGUUUUACCAUUAUACCUAGUAAGAAGACAAUCUUAUUGACAAAGUUUAGGAUCACAAAAAUUACACUGCUUCUCACCUCUGUCACGACAACUAGUGUUAUAAUCCUAAACACAUUUGUUUGGAGCACCUGAUGAUUAACCAAUCUAGAAACUAUUGCCAAGGCCCAACUUUUUGUUUACAUAAACCUAAAUGUUUGGUUUAAGGAAAUUCCUUUAAAGAGAUUUCCUUAAACAAAAUGCAAACUUUUGGAUGGAAAGAUACAAAAAUGGCAAUAGUUUAAUGAUUAAUAAAUUGUAUAUAUUAUAGCCCAAAUGGAAACUUCGAGAGAGAUAGGAGGGUGCCCGUCAAGGGAUAAACACUAAGCCUCCUAGUUCAACUAUGUCAAUGUCUCUACCGAUAUAGUUGAGCGACACGCCUGGUUGCGGGAAGCCUGCUUUCAACUUGAAAGAACUAUUUCACUCCUACUCUCAUAGGAAAUGCUGAAAAUUGGACCUAUGAGAGCACCCGAGUUAAUGGCCCUGGGUAUAGGAAAAACGUGAGAUGGGAGGUAAUCCGCAGGCGACUUGGGAGCAGCAUUCCUGAGCGUCUCAACGACUGGUAAGGUGUGGGUUUGCUUGCACGCAGGCCUGAGGUACAGUCUAAACCCACGAGCUAAUCGUGCUCUUGUGUAAUCCCGUAGAGGGGAACUAGCAAGAGGUAUUAUGAUUUCAUAGUAAGGUAUAAUUGAAGGUAGCCAAAUGCCUCGUCAUCUAAUUAGUGACGCGCAUGAAUGGAUCAAUGAGAUUCUCACUGUCCCUAUCUACUAUCUAGCGAACCCACAGCCAAGGGAACGGGCUUGGAAUAAUCAGCGGGGAAAGAAGACCCUGUUGAGCUUGACUCUAGUCCGACUUUGUGAAAUGACUUUCGAGAUAUAGCCUAAGUGGGAGCUAACGCGCCGCUGUAAAACCACUGCUCGCUUAGCCAUUUUACUUACUCCAUGAAGAAGUAGCCGGCUUGCCGGUUCUUAGAUUUAAAUGCUAGCUCGCACUAGCAUGAGCUUUGUGGAGGACAAGGUCAGGUGGGGAGUUUGACUGGGGCGGUACAUCUGUUAAACAAUAACGCAGGUGUCCUACGGUGAGCUCAAAGAGAACAGAAAUCUCUUGUAGACCAAAAGGGGAAAAGCUCACUUGAUUUUGAUUUUCAGUACUAAUACAAACCGCGAAAGCGUGGCCUAUCGAUCCUUUAACUUUACAAGUUUUAAGCUAGAGGUGUCAGAAAAGUUACCACAGGGAUAACUGGCUUGUGGCAGCCAAGCGUCCAUAGCGACGUUGCUUUUUGAUCCUUCGAUGUCGGCUCUUCCUAUCAUUGUGAAGCAGAAUUCUCAAAGUGUUGGAUUGUUCACCCACUAACAGGGAACGUGAGCUGGGUUUAGACCGUCGUGAGACAGGUUAGUUUUACCCUACUGAUGAAUCGAUGUUGCGACAGUAAUCAUACUUAGUACGAGAGGAACCGUUUGAUCGGAUACUUGGUUAAUACGGUUAGCUGAAAAGCUAAUGCCGUGAAGCUACCAUCCGUUGGAUUAUGACUGAAAGCCUCUAAGUCAGAAACCAUGCUGGAAAGCAACGUCU